AAUUAACACUAUAAAUAGAAGAAUUAUGAAAAAGUUAUUUGACUUUAUCCAUAUGGAGUGGCUUUGCCCACAGAGAGGGGUUGUUGCUCACUGUAGGGAGGGGUUUUACCAAUUGCUGAGAAUUUGACUUUGCCCAUUGAUAAGGGUCAAUUGCCCAUUGCAGUAGAAAGAGGUUUCGGCCUAAGGUGGAGAAAAAACAUAAAAUUCAAGAGGAAGAAAUUUUUGUCCACUGGUGAAAGUGUUUUUGCCCAUAGUUGAAGACACACCCUUUGUGGUGUAGUAUUAAAUAUAUUAAGUUAUAUCUAAAGGAGAAUAAGAUGAUUAACUAAUGUAUUUACUAUAAACAGUUAUAUAGUGUGAGUUUUCUUGGGUAUAAUUGGAUUGAUUGGUAGUAUAACUUGAACUUGUAAUUGAUGAUUUAUUAUUA
rnacentral:misc_RNA from 1 species